GUUUUUNCUGCGCCGUUCUGAUGCGCAAUUACUAACGAUUUCAACUUCAUGGANGGCGGGUUGCAGACCUCAAUCCGAACUUAAACCGACUUUGGGGAUUANCUCACUCUUACNAACUGGCUGCCCAUUGUAUCGGCCAUUGNAACACGUGUGUCGCCCUGGACAUAAGGGCCAUGANGACUUGACGUCAUUCCCACCUUNCUCCCGGNUUCCCGGGCAGUCCCGUCAGANUGCCUAAAUUAAUAGUANCAACUGACAGCGAGAGUUGCGCUCGUUAUANGACUUAACCCAACAUNUCACGACACGANCUGACGACAGCCAUGCAGCACCUGNGUAAUUGNCUANACCGAAGCCUAAAAGANUGNAUUUCUACNACUGNCAAAAACAUGUCAAGCCCANGUAAGGGUCCUCGCGUAGUGNCGAANUAAACCACAUGUUNCACCGCUUGUGCGGGCCCCCGNCAAUUCUUUUGAGUUUUANUCUUGCGACCGUACUCCCCAGGCGGAUCACUUAACGCGUUAGCUACGACACUGAUUNCGCUAAGCAGAACCAACAUCAAGUKAUCAUCGUUUACAGCGUGGACUACCAGGGUAUCUAAUCCUGUUUGCUCCCCMCSCUUUCGUGUAUCAGCGUCAGGUAAGGACCAARAAGCUGCCUUCGCCAUCGGKGKUCCUCUCGAUAUCUACGCAUUUUACCGCUACUCCGNAGAAUUCCACUUYUCUCUUCYUUCYUYUAUCAAACMAGUUUCCAUCGCACAUUCCCGGUUAAGCCGRGAAAUUUAACAAUARACUUGAUUKGCCGCCUACACACCCUUUACSCCCAGUGAUUCCGAAUAACGCUUGCACCACUCGUAUUACCGCGGCUGCUGGCACGAGUUUAGCCGGUGUUUUCUCUGAUGGUACCGUCAUCCCCUGUUUAUAUUAGAAACAAGGAUUUCUUCCCACCUAACAGAGGUUUACAACCCGUAGGCCUUCAUCCCUCACGCGGCGUCGCUGCAUCAGGCUUUCGCCCAUUGUGCAAUAUUCCCCACUGCUGCCUCCCGUAGGAGUCUGGACCGUAUCUAAGUUCCAGUGUUGCCGAACACCCUCUCAGGCCGGCUAACCGUCAUUGCCUUGGUAGGCCAUUACCCCACCAACUAGCUGAUAGUACGCAAGCUCAUCCCCUAGCGAUAGCAAAGAGGCCACCUUUCUCUAUCCGUAUCUCUACAGACAGACACAUGCGGUAUUAUCUCCGAUUUCUCGGAGGUAUUCCUCACUAGAGGGUAGAUUCUCACGCGUUAUUAACCCGUUCGCCGCUGUACUCGUCCCCGAAGGAACUUUNCUNGCUCGACUUGCAUGUGUUAAGCACGGGGNCCAGCGAACN
rnacentral:rRNA from 1 species